GAUGAACGCUGGCGGCGUGCCUAAUACAUGCAAGUCAAGCGAACAGACGAUGAGCUUGCUCCUCUGACGGUAGCGGCCGACGGGUGAGUAACACGGUGAUAACCUACCUAUAAUACUGUGAUAACUUCGGGAAACCGGAGCUAAUACCUGAUAAUAUAGUGAACCGCAUGGUUCAAUAUUGAAAGACUGUUUUGCUGUCAUGUAUAUAUGGAUCCGCGCCGCAUUAGCUAGUUGGUAAGGUAACGGCUUAACAAUGCAACGAUGCGUAGCCGACCUGAGAGGGUGAUAGGCCAAACAGGAACUGAGAAACGGUCACGACUACUACGGGAGGCAGCAGUAGGGCAUCAUCCGAAAUUGGCGAAAGCGUGACGGAGCAAAGCAGCAUGAGUGAUGAAGGUAUUAGGAUCGUAAAACUCUGUUAUUAGGGAAGAACAAAUGUGUAAGUAACUAUGCACGUCUUGACGGUACCUAAUCAGAAAGCCACGGCUAACUACGUG
rnacentral:rRNA from 1 species